rnacentral:rRNA from 1 species
UAGGGAAUCUUCCACAAUGGACGCAAGUCUGAUGGAGCAACGCCGCGUGAGUGAAGAAGGUUUUCGGAUCGUAAAGCUCUGUUGUUGGUGAAGAAGGAUAGAGGCAGUAACUGGUCUUUAUUUGACGGUAAUCAACCAGAAAGUCACGGCUAACUACGUGCCAGCAGCCGCGGUAAUACGUAGGUGGCAAGCGUUGUCCGGAUUUAUUGGGCGUAAAGCGAGCGCAGGCGGAAUGAUAAGUCUGAUGUGAAAGCCCACGGCUCAACCGGGGAACUGCAUCGGAAACUGACAUUCUUGAGUGCAGAAGAGGAGAGUGGAAUUCCAGGUGUAGCGGUGGAAUGCGUAGAUAUAUGGAAGAACACCAGUGGCGAAGGCGGCUCUCUGGUCUGCAACUGACGCUGAGGCUCGAAAGCAUGGGUAGCGAACAGG